UUGUACUUAUAUUUAUGGUAACAACUAGGAUAAAAACUUUAAUAAUAGAAAACAAUGAGAAUGAAAAUAUUUCCAACCUUUUGAUCAAAGCCAUAAAUUUAUAUGUAAAUCAUCAAAAUAAAAUAAACAAAAAAAUCAACAGCCAACUUUUGUUUUUCUGUACUAUUAACUAUUUCAAUACUUCUAUUUUGAUUUAGCCUUAUCUCGGUUAGAGUAUAUAUCUAUAUAAAUUUAAAGCUUUCUUCGGAAUUUUAAGAGAAUUUAAAUAAAAAUAUUAGUUUCGAAAAAUAAGUUUAGACAAAAAAAUAAAACUCGUUUAAAAUAUGAGUUAGACAAAUAUUUGAACAUUUGAGGUUCGAGCCUAGUCCGACUCAUUUGUUAAGUUUGUAAUAAAUAUUGUGUUAUUUUUUAUAUUAUGUAAUUUAUAAUCCAUAAAAUUUAAAUCUAUACAUUACUACAAUGGAAAUAUUAAAAAGUGUUUAGAUGAAUAUAUAUAUAAUUUUAAUAAAUAAAAAUAUAUAAAAUUAAUAAUAUUCAAUUGAGAAUAAUAUAUUAAAAUUAAUAUAAACGAGUUUAAAAUGAAUUUGAGUUACCUAUUUAUAAAUAUGUGCAGACUCGGAUAGAAAAUUCAUGUUUUGAGUUGAGCUAAACUCAUGCAAAAAUAAAGUGUAUUAAUAUCAUACUUAAACUCGAUUCGGUCAAUAAAAACUUCUAAUUAAUAUUAUUAUUAUAAUAAUCAGAAGAACAUAAUGAUAUAAGUUGUUGGAUUCAUUUCCUAAAGGAAAAAUAUUGGAAGAGGGAAGCAAAUAGUAAAAUCCCAGCAACGAAAACAAGGGCACGUUCAAAAUUUGGUGCUUCAAAAGGAUCAAACACUUGAUAUUUUCAUCUCAAAGUUUGUUCAAUUUCCCACCUGUUUGGAAAGCUUUGGAUUGAUCCCUGAGGUUUGGAAAGGCUCAAAGAACUUGCUUACAAUCUUUUGCAGCUUUCGCGUAACCCCAUAUGUGGAAAGGACAAAGUAAAGACGAAAUACAUGAUUGGAGUUCUUUUAACUCCGAUAUUAACCUCCCAACUCCAUUUCCCUUUUCUUCAACAACUCCAUGGAACUCUGUAAGCAUUGAGAAGGUGGUGUUUCCUUCAAAACAAUAGCUUCUAAGAUGCAGGUAAACAAUUUACAAGCAUAUUUAUCAUGUUUCAAAAGCUUUCAUAAUAAUAUAGACACAUAUUUCGGUACGAGUAUGGAUCAUGAAAACUUUUCCUCAAAAAAACAAAGAAAAAGAAAAAAACAUGGCCUGAGCUUUCCUUUCAUAAAAAAUUACAAAGAUGAUUAAUAUAUACAAAGUACUUAAAUUUGAAAAUUAAUACCUACUUACUAGAACUAUUCAUUGAACGAGCUACCAGGCUCAAAGGCUCGCUUAAAAUUUGGGAGAAUUUAGGCAAAAAU
rnacentral:lncRNA from 1 species